UUGACGUUCCUGGUUCUCCAGCUUUCAGACUCAGACCAAAACUUACACCAUCAUCCCCCUGAUUCUCAGGACUUUGGACUUGGAUUGAAUUGCACCACCGGCUUUCCUGGUUCUUCAGCUUGCUGACAGCAGAUCGUGGGCCUUCUCGGCCUCCAUAACCAUCACAUUCCUACUCUUCCUCUAAGACCAGCACAGCUGUUACAAAGUCCCCAAAACUCUGAAAGGAGAAAAAUUCCAGAAGUUGGAGCUCAUAGAAGAUGAGGACUUGGAAGUGGCCAUCAGAUUUGUUGAUUAGAAGGCUCAUCGGUGAGCACUGAGAGAGCAGAAGGCUGAAUGCCAUGUAAGUCAAGAGAAGCUACACUCUCAGGUGGUGUCUACAGCAGCAGCUUCAGCAUUUACACCUUUCUGUCCACAGCUUUGUCUCAGAUAUUCAUGUGGAUACAGGCUGGUUCACAACAGAGCACAGGAUAAAAUGCAAGAUUCCUUCCUGUUUCUGAUUUGCAAUAAUAAGGGAUAAGUGUGCUUACAGCAAUCACUCCCAUGGAGAGUAAGGGGGAAAUUUAGCUGAACAUAAUGUGUGUUGGCCUGAGUAAGGCUCAAUCGCACGCCCCUCACUUGGAGUUGGAGUCUAGUUUCUGACUGCCCAAACGGUUUCACAAUACAUGCUGGAAGAUGUAGCCCCAACCAGCAACACUGGCAAUAAGCAAGGAGUCAUAAGAAUCCCUUAGUACAGAGAAAUUCACCAGGCCAUUGAGCUAGUGAACUCAGGUGAUCUAGUAUUCCUUCAUUCAUCACGGUAACGAUAUUUCUUGGGAGAGCACCAUCUGCCAGGCCCUGUGCCAUGCAUAGCCAGACACACAUUAUGCUCCUGGGGAAAUGAUGGUUUAGUAGAAAUAUAGAUGAUGAAACAAGGGGUUCCAGUACAGUGUGAUACUCUGAUAUAUGUAAAAGGAGCUCCUAAACCAGGCUUGAGUGGCUGGGGCAGGGGUGGAAGGAAGUAUUAAUCUUUAUAUGUAUAUAUACAUAUAUAUAUAUAUAUAGAGAGAGAGAGAGAGAGAGAGAGAGAGAGA